GACGAACGCUGGCGGCGUGCCUAAUACAUGCAAGUAGAACGCUGAAGAGAGGAGCUUGCUCUUCUUGGAUGAGUUGCGAACGGGUGAGUAACGCGUAGGUAACCUGCCUUGUAGCGGGGGAUAACUAUUGGAAACGAUAGCUAAUACCGCAUAACAAUGGAUGACACAUGUCAUUUAUUUGAAAGGGGCAAUUGCUCCACUACAAGAUGGACCUGCGUUGUAUUAGCUAGUAGGUGAGGUAAUGGCUCACCUAGGCGACGAUACAUAGCCGACCUGAGAGGGUGAUCGGCCACACUGGGACUGAGACAUGGCCCAGACUCCUACGGGAGGCAGCAGUAGGGAAUCUUCGGCAAUGGGGGCAACCCUGACCGAGCAACGCCGCGUGAGUGAAGAGGGUUUUCGGAUCGUAAAGCUCUGUUGUAAGUCAAGAACGGGUGUGAGAGUGGAAAGUUCACACUGUGACGGUAGCUUACCAGAAAGGGACGGCUAACUACGUG
rnacentral:rRNA from 1 species